rnacentral:miRNA from 1 species
CUGACCGACCAAGUGCUGAAU